AUUCACAGUUGACGAGUCUCAAAUAGGACGAAACACGCGUCAUGGAU
rfam:Schistosoma margrebowiei strain Zambia genome assembly, scaffold: SMRZ_scaffold0002440